rnacentral:Y_RNA from 1 species
GUGGCGAAUGCUCGCGGGACUACAUGCCUAUCACGCCCCAGGUCGUGGGUUCGACUCCCACCAGCCGCUCAUUGCAAUGGCGGCUGUAGCUCAGUUGGUAGAGCAGGGAACGUCUCGCAAAUCCCUUGUCGCCACGCU